rnacentral:rRNA from 1 species
AGUGAACGCUGGCGGUAGGCCUAACACAUGCAAGUCGAACGGCAGCACAGUAAGAGCUUGCUCUUACGGGUGGCGAGUGGCGGACGGGUGAGGAAUACAUCGGAAUCUACUUUUUCGUGGGGGAUAACGUAGGGAAACUUACGCUAAUACCGCAUACGACCUACGGGUGAAAGCAGGGGAUCUUCGGACCUUGCGCGAUUGAAUGAGCCGAUGUCGGAUUAGCUAGUUGGCGGGGUAAAGGCCCACCAAGGCGACGAUCCGUAGCUGGUCUGAGAGGAUGAUCAGCCACACUGGAACUGAGACACGGUCCAGACUCCUACGGGAGGCAGCAGUGGGGAAUAUUGGACAAUGGGCGCAAGCCUGAGCCAGCCAUACCGCGUGGGUGAAGAAGGCCUUCGGGUUGUAAAGCCCUUUUGUUGGGAAAGAAAAGCAGCAGGUUAAUACCCCGCUGUUCUGACGGGACCCAAAGAAUAAGCACCGGCGAACUUCGU